rnacentral:miRNA from 1 species
GGCGGGCUGCGGGCUGGGCUGGGCUGGGCUGGGCCGGGCCGGGCCCCACAGCUCCCUCGCCUUCUCCUUCGGCCCGUC